GAUGAACGCUAGCGGGAGGCUUAAUACAUGCAAGUCGAGGGGCAGCAUGAUUGUAGCAAUACAAUUGAUGGCGACCGGCAAACGGGUGCGGAACACGUACACAACCUUCCAAUAAGUGGGGAAUAGCCCAGAGAAAUUUGGAUUAAUACCCCGUAACAUAACGAUGUGGCAUCACAUUGUUAUUAUAGAUUUUUCGCUUAUUGAUGGGUGUGCGGCUGAUUAGAUAGUUGGCGGGGUAACGGCCCACCAAGUCUACGAUCAGUAGCUGAUGUGAGAGCAUGAUCAGCCACACGGGCACUGAGACACGGGCCCGACUCCUACGGGAGGCAGCAGUAAGGAAUAUUGGACAAUGGACGCAAGUCUGAUCCAGCCAUGCCGCGUGAAGGAUUAAGGUCUUAGGAUUGUAAAAUUCUUUUAUAAGGGACGAAAAAAGGUCUUCCUAGAUCGUCUGACGGUACCUUAUGAAUAAGCACCGGCUAACUCCGUGCCAGCCGCCGCCGUAACAC
rnacentral:rRNA from 1 species